AAGAGAAUUAGGUUUACUGGAGUUGUGACGCUCCCAAUUCUUUGAGCUUUUUCUUCUUCACAAAAUGCAACGGCCGCCUCUCCUCCUUCUCCGCUGAAACUUCGACGGCGCUACCGCAUGAUCACCUCCGUCUCCGCCAAAACUUCAACGGCGCUACCAUAUGAUCACCCCCGUCUCCGCCUCACACACUUCUCUUGUCUCUCUUGUUCAUCCCUCAGCUCUUCUCUCGUCUCCGAUUUAACAUCAUCUCCUCUCCGACUCAAUUUUGAACGCAUAUAAGUUGAUACGUACGAAUUUUCACCGACCAGAGUCCAUCCGGUGCAUCCGAAAACAGAGAAAUCCUGAUAUGAUGCUUCCGAUCCUUUAGAGUGAUGAUGAUGUUGUUGCGUGAUUCGCAAUGGAGGUGAUGAUGAUUCUCAGAUGAUGAUUGAAGCUGCGUGAAGAUUUUCUGUAGAAUUGGUGAAGAGAAUAAGAUCGAAGAGGCUGUUUUUGUGAAUUUUUGUGGUGAUUGAAGAAAGGUGUGGAGAAGGUUGAAGAAGAAGAUGAAGAUAUGAUGAAGGUUCAUAGGUGAAGAAAAAAUGGUAGAGGAUGGAUGAAGAUGGAUGAAGAUGGAUGAAGAGUUGGAGAAGAUGAGAAGAUGAUGAAGUUGCAGAGAGUGAGGAUUGAUUUGGUGAUGGUUAAUGGAGGCUCUGAAGAUUGAAGGUGUUGGAAGGAGAGUGGCGUGUGGAGAAUGAGAAGUGAAAAAGUGAAGAAGAACUAAGAGUGGAGCAAUGCUUUGUUAUAUAGAUUUCCCAGGUUUCCGAUGAAGUCACUUGGUAGAAUCAAACACACAUCAUGGGAUCUGAACCUGGAUGAAUCAACCAUUGUCAAAAUGAGACUGGCUAGCCAUGUAGAAUGAUGAGAAGACUUAGAGUUUGGAGGGAAAUAGCUCAGCUCAGUUUGGUUGUAUUAUGCUGGGAAUUUCUGGUUUUUCUUUUGUGAACUGAUGUCUAGUUUGGCUUUUCGCAUUGGCAUCCGGUUUGUGGUCGCAGACAUGAACUCUGGCUUUUACUCCGACUCGGGCUUCGAAUAUAGGGCAAGACUAUUCCACUGAAUUUUCCUAUGGAUCCAUUUUUAGAAUCCUCAUUGAUCCUUGAAGCCAGCAAUAGAGACACCAUAAUCUGGCAGCUUGUAGUCCUAGAGUGAAGUGCAGGCUCCUUAGAUGUUUAAGGCUCGAGUAUAUAACCUGUAUUGCUUGAAAAUUUGUAUUGGAUUUGUGGUAUAUUUCAAGUGUAUCUCAAGUGCAAGCUAUUGUUUUUUCUUCGACAUAUAUUUAUGCUUCCCUUGUAAUGAGUAGAUUUAGGAAUUUUGUGAAGGGAUGAAAUGAGUCAAAGCUUCUCUCCAAA